AUCCUGUCAAACGAGUCACCUGUCCAAACAUUGAUACAUCUGAUUUACCGAACCCAAAGGCACUUUUAAGAGCCAACCUCUAUCUCUAUCCAUCUAUCUAUCUAUCUGUCUAUUUAUCUAUCUAUCUAUAUCUAUCCAUCUAUCUAUCUAUCUAUCUAUCUUAUCUAUAUCUAUCUAUCUAUCUAUCUUAUCUAUAUAUAUCUAUCUAUCUAUCCAUCUAUCUAUCUAUCUCUACCUCUCGCAAUGCCAGGGGGUCUACAAAAAAGAUUUGUCCCUUUUGUCAGGGUAUUUUAUUUUGCACACAGAAGAUCUGCUUGAAUUGUAAAAAGGAGCAGCCUCUGAAGCAGCGACUCAAGAAGAAGCUUCAGAGAUUUGAUGAGAAGCGAGAGGAAUGGGUGGUUGGUCAUAAGAAGAACCACAACAUUGCAUCCAUCAAGGAUGAAGCAAUUGUCAUGCUUGAGAAACUCCAUGCCAUUGGAUACAAGCCAGUUUUGCUUCUUGGCAAGGAGACCAAAAAGAAAGAAAACAAGUGUGAAAUAUUAACCCCUCGCUGCACACUCUCCACCUAUGCCCAGGACUACCUUCAGAAGAUAGGUUCAUUUUAUGAAUACCUCUGUGAAGGUUGGAACCAGGAUUCCAGUGGCAAUGAUGAUCAGCUGAUUACUCUGCACCUCACACCCUGUGACUCAUUGGAGAACACAAGCAGCCGGGAGGAGGUGAGGACCACACAGGUGGAAGAGACAAGGAACAUGCAGGUGGAGCAGGCGACCAUUAUGGAGGGGCAGGCGGAGCAGAUGAGCGUCACGGAGGGGAAGACGGAGCAGGUGACUAUUAUGGAGGGGCAGGUGGAGCAGAUAAGCACUACAGUGGGGCAGGUGGAGCAGGUGAGCAUCACGGAGGGGCAGACGGAACAGGCAACCAUUAUGGAGGGGCAGGUGGAGCAGAUCAGCACUACAGUGGGGCAGGUGGAGCAGAUCAGCAUCACGGAGGGGCAGACGGAGCAGGUGACUAUUAUGGAGGGGCAGGUGGAGCAGAUCAGCACUACAGUGGGGCAGGUGGAGCAGAUGAGCAUCAUGGAGGGGCAGACGGAGCAGGUGACUAUUAUGGAGGGGCAGGUGGAGCAGAUCAGCACUACAGUGGGGCAGGUGGAGCAGAUGAGCAUCAUGGAGGGGCAGGCGGAGCGGGCGACCAUUAUGGAGGGGCAGGCGGAGCAGAUGAGCACUAUGGAGGGACAAGGGUCAGCCAUGGGCACAGUUGAUCCCACUAACAAAAAGAAAAAGUCAGAGGGACCAAGGCAUAUGCCUCUGAGGAAAAAGCCACAAAAGAAUUGCUCCUACCACACUCGCCUAGAGGCUUUCCCCAUCAGGAGUGUAGUAAGCGAAAGAGUGAGACAGGGCAAAUUAGAAAUAUUGGUUGACUGGGAGCCCUGUCCAAUAUGGAGUGUCUGUGUUUUACAUGUGGGCGUUGCAGAAGAUCACGUGUUCAGGGUGCGUUGAUUGCGCUUGGUCAUAUGACCGAUCAAUGGCAAGAUGGCGGCAAAAAAGAAAGGAACGCGACACUGGAGUCGGGAGGAAACAUUAGCUUUAAUUUCUGUUUGGAGCGAACCUACAUUUCAAUUUCAGUUUGAAAGUUGCAUACAUAACCACAAGGUUUGGGAGGCAGUUUGGAAAAAAGUUUGUGAGGUUUGUCCAUCUAUACAAAAUACCUUCGACUGGGUGAAGUGCAAAGACCGCAUAGAAUAUCUGAAACGACGUUACCGCGAUUGUGUGAAGCAUAACAAGAAGACGGGGUCGGAUCCACAACGCUGCCCAUUCUUUGAGGAACUGGACUCCGUUCUUGCUUGUCGUCCAAUGACUAACCCCGGGGAUGGACAUAUGGAUGUGUCAAGUUCAGAGGAAGGUGAAAAUUCUGGUACGAGUUCACUCUCAUCUGGUAUAACUGAGCCAUCAGGAGACCAAGCAGCUACGAUGACAGCAUCUGAAGAUGACAGUGGUCUAAGGUCAGAGGUGACCUCCAAUCCAGGCCAAAAUUCCAUCAUUACAAGACGUAAACGCAAAGGCAAAAAAAAUCAAAUCAUGGAAGCCAUGGAGAGAGGGAUGAACAUGUUAAUACAACAUGACAAAGAUGCAACAGCAGCAGAGGUUGAACAGCGUCUUGACAAGGAGCACAUGGCCUGGGAGAGACAGUUCCAGCAGGCCAGACUAGAUCUGGAAAGAGCACGUCUCCAAUUUGAGAUGAAGCGUCAGGAAGCUGAAGACAGGCGUGCUCGAGAUACCCAGCAAUUCAUGGUACAAAUUCUGCAAGUGCUUAGACCUGCAUUGCCACAGUAUGGACCCUCAACUUCGUUUGCACAAUAUCAACAUCCAGCUCAACACUAUUACCCAUCUGAUCCAUUUGCUUUUGCACCUGGAGAAGCCACGCACCAAAAUCCGUCAACAUCAGUUUUCCAAGAUCAACGUUCACUGUCUGACCAAAGAAAUGAUAACUAGUUUUUUCUGGGCAUUGUUUUUUGCAAACAUUGUGCAGUUGUACUUGUUUGUUUAAAGUUCAAAGAACUGUUCUAGUCACAAUAAUGUGAAAAUGUUGGAAGUUAUGUUUUUGCACUUUGCAACGUUUACAUUUUGCACUUUAAUGCCUAAUGGCAAAACUUGAAUAUGUUAAAAUUCAGUUUACGAUAAAAGUAAAGAGACAAAUGUUUGAUACGUGUCUUAAGUUUUAUUACACAUAUAGAUUGUAACUUUUUUUGUUUUGUACAAACUGUGGUUUUGUUCUUACAAAAGAGCCAUUUACAAAGCCACAAUCAGCACAGGAAUGUCAAUGCCUUGUAUUGUCUUGGUGAGUGGUGGAAAGCAUGUGCCAUUUUCCAGCUUUGCAUGUAGUUUUGAGUUUUGAAAAACAAAGGAGUCGUGGCAUUUCCCUGGCCAGCCAACAUCAAAAUCUUGAAACAUGUACUGGUGGUCAACCAAGCCCUGUAGUAUCACGCUGUACCACCCCUUUCUGUUGUAGUAAUCAGUGUGAAAAAUGGAGGGUGCUAGGAUUGGAAUGUGUGUUCCAUCCAGGGCCCCAGCACACAUGGGAAACCCUGACUUCUCUUUAAAUCCAGUGAUUAUGGUCUUCACAGCUUCUUCACUUUUUGGCAUUCCAAUAAACUUCCUUUUCAGUUGGCUGAGACCCUUACACACCUCCCAAAACACAUCAGAGGCAGUGCUCACCCCAAUCCCAAAGAGGGACGAAGAAGGUCAAAGAGAUUUAAGAAGGCCUCCUCUGGCAUUCUGAAGUUGAGGUACCACUCAGUUUCCCCAAAAUUCUGCAGCACAUCUGUCUCCCAGAAGGGUACCAAACAUAUCUACAUCCAUUAUUGGUGCGUAGACAGCAGAAGCUUGAAUACGGCGCGCUAGCGAGAGAUUUUACGGAAGCUCACGUUGACCAAAACACACAAGAAAAAGCGUUUUGGAAAAAUACUUUUUCGGCAAUCACAGACAUUCGCAUUCGGACGGGAUUAGAUUUCUCAGAGGACCGCCGAGUUUGCUGAAAACAGUAGGUAAUUUGCUCUGGAAUUAUUACAGAGGUUGUGUGAGAAAAACACAGACAUGGCAGAUUCGGACGGGAUUAAAAUCACCAAGUACGUCUGUGAAACAGAAAUUUCUCUAACGACCCCCUGGAAAACUAGUCCCGUCCGAAUAGGGUUUUUGCUAAUCUUUUUUAUUUGUUUGUUUGUUUUUUGCUACAGUAAUUUCUUAUUAAUCUGUUUUGGUUCGCAAAUGGUGGUGGUCCUUCAUAAAUGGAAAAUGAAACUGUAAUACUUAUAAAAGACAUGUUCUGUAAUGAUGUGUGCUUCACACUUGUUAAAAUGUCUGUUUAUUGGAAAGACCCAGUAAAUUAAAAAGAAAAUUCCC